rnacentral:autocatalytically_spliced_intron from 1 species
UGACUUAAUUAAAAAUGAAUUUUGCUUAAGUAAUAAUAUUAAAUUGAUAAGAAUACCUUAUAAAAGAGCAAAUUCGAAAAAAACGAAGUUGUAUAUAUAUAAUAUUUUAUUUAAUAAGUUAAUCCCGAGCCAAGCCUAAUAGAAAUAUUAGGAAGGUGUAACGACUAGAGUGAUUAGACUAAGUAUAAGCACAGUAUCUACUGUGUUUUUUAUAUGUCAAAAACUCCACGAGCGCAUAGCAACGUAACAUUAAGUUGACGUUGAAGAUAUAGUCUGAACUUAUAAGAAAUUAUAAG